CCAAUAGCGUAUAUUAAAGUUGUUGCAGUUAAAAAGCUCGUAGUUGAAUUUCGGGAUUAGUACGUUGGUCGUGCCUUCGGUACGUACUGGUGUUACUGAUUCCUACCUUCUGACGAACCAUCAUGUCAUUAAUUUGGUGUGGUGGGGAAUCAGGACUGUUACUUUGCAAAAAUUAGCGUGUUUAAAGCAGGCUCGCGCUUGAAUACAUUAGCAUGGAAUAAUGAAAUAGGACGUUGACCCUAUUUUGUUGGUUUCUAGGAUUGACGUAAUGAUUAAUAGGGAUAGUUGGGGGCAUUAGUAUUCAAUUGUCAGAGGUGAAAUUCUUGGAUUUAUUGAAGACUAACUACUGCGAAAGCAUUUGCCAAGGAUGUUUUCAUUAAUCAAGAACGAAAGUUAGGGGAUCGAAGACGAUCAGAUACCGUCGUAGUCUUAACCAUAAACUAUGCCGACUAGGGAUCGGAUGAUGUUAUUUUUAAUGACUCAUUCGGCGCCUUACG
rnacentral:rRNA from 1 species